rnacentral:rRNA from 1 species
GACGAACGCUGGCGGCGUGCCUAAUACAUGCAAGUAGAACGCUGAAGGAGGAGCUUGCUUCUCUGGAUGAGUUGCGAACGGGUGAGUAACGCGUAGGUAACCUGCCUGGUAGCGGGGGAUAACUAUUGGAAACGAUAGCUAAUACCGCAUAAUAGUAGAUGUUGCAUGACAUUUGCUUAAAAGGUGCAAUUGCAUCACUACCAGAUGGACCUGCGUUGUAUUAGCUAGUUGGUGAGGUAACGGCUCACCAAGGCGACGAUACAUAGCCGACCUGAGAGGGUGAUCGGCCACACUGGGACUGAGACACGGCCCAGACUCCUACGGGAGGCAGCAGUAGGGUAUCUUCGGCAAUGGACGGAAGUCUGACCGAGCAACGCCGCGUGAGUGAAGAAGGUUUUCGGAUCGUAAAGCUCUGUUGUAAGAGAAGAACGAGUGUGAGAGUGGAAAGUUCACACUGUGACGGUAUCUUACCAGAAAGGGACGGCUAACUACGUG